AUGAGAGCAGGUCUUGACUUCCGGCGUGGCUCGCAGGGAAUUAACGGGAAGAGCGGAGCUUGUGUGGGAGCCCCGCCCCGAAGGGCCCUGGAGAAGAAGCUUUGUCGAGGGCCAUCUAACCGUGGACGCCGUCCAGUUCUUUUUGGAGCCUGUUCUUGUGGAAGGGCACAGACUAGCCAUCUUUUAUGUCCACUCUGGGCUCUGACGCGUGACUUCUGGACGUUGCCAGCACCCUGCUCCUCUUUUAGGUGUUGCCUUCCCCAUCCCUAGAGGCCCGGAUGCUUUUCCUAUUUGCUUCUCUUUCUGCCCCCAACACGCAAGCACAGACAACACCCGAUGGUCCCUGAGAAGCACUUCAUAAAUGCUUCACUUCACUGCCCGGGGUACCAAGAAGAUAAGGGACUUUCUCCAGGCCCCGCAGCCAGGAUGUGUCCGGCACAUUUGAACCCAGAUAGGCAGAUGACACACUAACCUAGUUAGUGCCCCUUUGAGGGCCUGUAGUUACCUGCUCUUGCCACCAGGGGCUCUCCUGCAGAGACAACAUAAAAACUAUGGACUUGACAGCGCUUGACCAUUCAGUGAGGGAUGGAGUCACGAGUAAAAGGGGCUUGAGGGUGACCAGGUUAUGAUUUUAAGGUUGUCUUUUCUUUUCCAGGGAAAGCAGAAGUGUUGGGAGGAGGUUCAAAAUCCAAUGUUACCAAGUAGUAAGGGUGGAAUCUGAGGACCUGGGUUCAAAUCCAACUUUGUGAUUUGGGGCAAGUAAAGUAAAUCUCUUUGGGCCUUAGUUUUUCUUCACUCUAAAAAUGCUUGUACUUCCCCCAAACAGAGUUAACUUAAACGUCCUGAGAGAGUUUGAGAUACAGCUAAUAAGGGUGGUCUUUGAUUGGCGUGAGUGGAAAAUACCCCAGUAAGAUCUAUACGAAAUCAACACCAAGUGACAACUUCCCUCAAGGUGGGUGGUAGGGCACUAAAAGCAAUGGGAAAUUAGCACAAGGCCCUGCUUGGGAGCAUAUCGGAUUGUCUGCAUGCACACUGUGAAGGAAGGGAGCCCGGUGGGGGUAUGGCAGAAUAGUAGAUGAGGCUCUACUGGAGACAGGCCCACAACUGAGAUGCCAGCCACCUUUGCAGCUCCCUCCACGCCACCAUAUCAGCUUGGGCACCCAUUGGGUCUGGCCCCUUGACACUAUCUCCAAGGAUCUUGGGGGGUUGUGAAUCUGUGGCACUGGGGGGCAAAGGCCUCUCAAUCCACAAGGUGGCUGUUCACGCUCAGAGCGCAAGGAGCACAAGUCUGGACUAGGGGGAUGACUCCCCAUUCAGAAUGAAUCCUUUCCCAGGCUGGGAAAAGUAAGGACGUCUCUUGGGGGAUCCUGGGAUCUGUUCUUGUAAACAAGAUCCCCGUAAUCCUAUGACCCUAGACUUAGGGCCAGUGCGCCGAACCCCCUCAUUUGAUGGGAAGCUCAUGGUCAGAGAGGACCUGAUCAUGGGCACACGGCUUUCCGAAGUCUUAGGUAGGACUUGACCAGUUUGAAGACAAGCUGCCUACUUGCUAUACAGUUUCUGACAAAAGCAGUCCAAUGAAGUAUUCCAAAUAACUCCAAAGUACUGUGGGUUCUUCCAAAAUUUCCUUCAACCCUAACUACCCUUGAGACAUGGGAACAGGCCAGAAGCUUCUGAAUACCAGGUUACGCAGCAGCCUCUCCUCUCUGGGGGACUAGUUGCCACGAUGCAGUAUACAGAGAGCAGCUGCCCAGCUGGCACCCUGUCCCCCAGUCCAGCCCAGAAAUACCAAGUUUCCUUUCCUUCAGUUGACCCAAGGACUGCCAGGCAGACACAGAGAGCACAGAUGCGGGCUGGUCUGGGGCAUCUCCUGGGGACAAUGGCCCCUACUGAGGGAUACGUGCCCAAGCCUGGCACUGCUGGAACGCUUGUCCACCCCUGCUCACAGGCCCCUGUGUUCUCUAGAGGCAGCAGCCCCACACUGGGAUAGGCACUCCUUAUGAGUGGGGCCCAGCAAGGCUGGACUUGAGGGGAGCCUGGGGGAUGGGGGAGGGCUUCCUACUUUCACUGAUAAGGGGUUAAAAUCCCAAAGAAAAUACAGAUGUGGAUGGGAAGCUUCCAGAGCUGUCCAGGGUCCCAGUUGGUUUGUGUCAGAGGUAGCCUUUCAUCUUUGGAAGAUCCACUCUCCCACCUAGUCAGUGGUGGAAAAUGCCAUGGGAAGGGACUCAUGCUGGAGGUGUAGGUGUACAUGGCAGGAGGGAGGGAGAGAGAGAUGGAGGGGGAGAAACAGGGAGAGCAGGAGGAAGAGAAGGGGAGGGAAGGUAAAGAGAUUGAGAGAAAACACAAGAAUAUGGACAUUCCAUUUAGUAGAGAAGUUAAGAGGGGGAGAUGGUCUCCCCACCUCGAACCCACCCCCAGGUCUCUAAUCUGUCCACAUUCUGUCUUCAUUUACUUUUCUGUGAACAUUUUUUUAUCCUACCGUAGAAGGUAAGCACCUCUUGGACGCAGACUUUUCUGUAUAUUCCCAGCAUGUGGCACACAGUAGGUGCUUCAUAAAUGGGAAUGAGUGGAUUCUGUAGUUGGUGCAGCAAGAUGCAUAGGAAGUUGGAUUAAGACACAGUUCAGGGCUAGGGCAAGGUGAUGGGGCAUUUCUCCCUAUGAUGGCCGCUGAGGUCACACAGAGGAUGUAAGGCAAGGAAGGUAGGCAGCUGCCUCUGCAGGUAGCAAGCUGCUUAUCCUGGAGAGUAUUCCAAUAGAAGCUGGAUGACUUCAUUUGGGGGAGGAGGGUCAUACUUGGGCACUCAGUUCUGGCCUUGCUGGACCAUCUGUUUUUCCCAAACCAAACUGUAAACUGAAAGUAAAACUCAGCAAGUGAACAGACAAAGCAGGGAGACCUGGGGCCAAAGCUAUCGUCAAAUGGACCCCAGUGGGUCUGGAGUUAGAGGGCCCUGGAAGGCUCUGCCUCCUGCCCAGGACACAGAAGAGGAGUGAAUUAGUACUGCAGAGCAGCGGCAGGGUGAUGAGGGAAGUGACUGUCCUCUCUGAGGCUGUGGGACCCAGUCUUUCGCUGUGAAAAUGAGGAAACAAAGAUCACCCACCCAUGCGAGCCAGGAGGGCCAACCCCAUAUUGAUCUGGAAGAUGAGGAAACUGAGGCAUGGAGGUGCCAUGUGCAUGGGCUGCUGAACCAGAAUGUGGACCCAUUUUUUCUGAAACCACUGUUGGUGUCCCUUCUCCCACAGUUACCCUUGAGGUGGCACAGAAAGACAGACUGACCUGGAGCUCCUAGAAGGUAGGAGAGCCCAGGCAUUCCUCAGAGCAGAGCAGGUCUAGGGCCAUGGACUGAGCUCUAAGGUGGGCCAGUAUAUGUGAAGUGGAAGGCCUGGGAUUUGAAUUGUAGCCUUCCCACCCAGAGGACCCUGGCAAAUCCUUGAAGCUCCCUCAGUUUCCUCAUUUUUAAAAUGAGACAUUUGAUGACUCCAGAUUACCAUUACCUCCUGACAGAGGAAUCAAGGUAUUGGACUAAGGAGGCAGGUAAGAACCUCCAUUUGGGACAAAGACAAUCCUGGGCUAGCCUCUGCCUGGUGAUGCCAGCACAGUCACUCCCAGGUUGUGGCCUCCUUUUUUACCUUUUUUUUUUCCCAAUGGGGAAGGACAGUGGGGAAAAUAAAGGCUCAUUCAUUUGAAAAGGUGGCA
ensembl:lncRNA